rnacentral:miRNA from 1 species
GUGAGCAAGCAGGCGAAACAUGA